UAAAAGCCGUCUCAGUUCGGAUUGCAGGCUGCAACUCGCCUGCAUGAAGCUGGAAUUGCUAGUAAUCGCGGAUCAGCAUGCCGCGGUGAAUACGUUCCCGGGCCUUGUACACACCGCCCGUCACACCAUUAGAGUCGGGAACACCCGAAGUCCGUAGUCUAACCGCAAGGAGGGCGCGGCCGAAGGUGGGUCCGGUAAUUGGGGUGAAGUCGUAACAAGGUACC
rnacentral:rRNA from 1 species